rnacentral:lncRNA from 1 species
UCCGGCGGUCACCUCAACCCCGCCGUCACCUUCGGCCUCGCGGUCGGCGGCCACAUCACCAUCCUCACCGGCAUCUUCUACUGGGUCGCCCAGCUCCUCGGCUCCACCGUGGCCUGUCUCCUCCUCAAGUUCGUCACCGGUGGCAAGGUAAAACAGAACGAAAACAUCCCCACUGUCCGUCGUCGUCCAUGAACUAAAUCAAUCUAUCCGAACCGUCUGAUUCGUUUCCAUUUC